UAGCCCCAGGAUCGAGCCGACUUUCGCGUUAUUAGCACGACGCUCUCACCAACUGAGCUAUGGAGCU